rnacentral:rRNA from 1 species
GAUCCUGGCUCAAGAUGAACGCUAGCUACAGGCUUAACACAUGCAAGUCGAGGGGCAGCAUGUUGGUUGCUUGCAACCAAUGAUGGCGACCGGCGCACGGGUGAGUAACGCGUAUCCAACCUACCCUUGUCCAUCGGAUAACCCGUCGAAAGGCGGCCUAACACGAUAUGCGGUUCACAGCAGGCAUCUAACGUGACGAAAUGUNAAGGAGAAGGAUGGGGAUGCGU